rnacentral:lncRNA from 1 species
AGAGCCCAGGCAGGCCCCGCACUGGGGAGUGCGGACCCCAGUGUGCCGGGCGCUGGCUUCUCGCAGGGCUCGCGUUCCUGUGGCAGUGCACAGUGACCAACGCUCCGCUCUGGGAGGCAGUCAGUGGUGGCAGUUGGUGCCCCGAGUGGGACACCGGCCGUCUGUCCCUGCGGCUCAGGGAGAGGCCUCGCGUGUGUCAAUCCCAAAGGUUGGAGCCCAGGCUCUGUCUCAUCCUUGCUAGAGAUGCUUCCCAAGGUGCCGUCCGCUCUGCUGGGCAGAGGAAGCAGGAAUUCACCGGUGCCUCUUCCCCUUCUGGUGCUGGGCUGGGGACCACCGACCCUGUGGGCCUCGUGGCCAGGUGGGCGUCUGUCCUGGAGAGGCGGAUCCUGGGCCCAGGAGUCCCCUACCACUAUUCAUCUGGCCAAGACUGGAAGAGCAGCCGUGCAGGGGCUCAGGCUCUCAUGCCCCAGGGCAAAGAUGGGGAGGACCAGGGGCCAUUGCUGCUAUCCCCGAAAUCCCUGAGCCUCAGAGGGUCAUGGUGACCACAGUAGCCUCUCCUGGAGUUCCCUCAAAAGCAGUGGUAAGUGUGAUUUUAUCCCCACUAUUUCUGCAGAAAUGCAGAAGCUGUCAGUCAAGCCACUGCUUCUCUCGCAGUUGGGCCAAGCUGUCACCAUGACAGCAGAGGUGUCUUAGAUGCCCCAGGGUGCUCCAGGAGAGGUUUGCUCUGGCUGAGGCAGGCUUGGAACAGAACUUUCCCAGAUGACUCCGCCCACCAGCCUCCAGAUGUCCCAUUCCCCUCUUUGUCACUACUUCCAAAGUCCCCAGGUAGGUCCAUAAAAUGCAGGGAGCACCGUGUGUGUGAGCCCAUCCUCUACACUCUUUCUGGGAAGGGCCUACAGGGCUUCCUCUUGUGCCUUUAACCCCUUGUACUGCAGCAUGAGUCCCUGGAGAGCUUCACUUGGCUCAUCCUAUUGCCCGCUCAGGAUUUUUAUCCUGUGUAGAGUGAGACCAGCAGGUUGCACUAAGAAGAGCUGCUGACACCAAGAACUCUGCCCCGAAGAGCUCCAGAGAGUGGCAGAACAAGGAUCCCAGACCAUCAGGGCCCUGCCAUGAGUGGUGGAGAACCCCAGAGAACAGCACAAGCUGCUGGAAGAGCUCUAGAAUGGUGUUGGGGGCCAUGAGCAGGGCUGCUGAGGCCAGGAGCCAUCAAGAGCUAUGACACUAAGAGCUAAGAGGUGCUGGCACUCAAAGCUUACAGCUGUGACACUAACAGCUGGCAGCUACUGGAACCAAAAGCCUGGAGCUGCUAACGUUAAAGGAGCUGCACUUGACAAUUUAUGAUUUCUCUCUGAAUUGAACAAGAGAACCCCCAGCUGGUUGGAAACACAGGAGACAGGAGGGGACACGCAGACAAGGCAGUUAUCAGAUGACUG